rnacentral:siRNA from 1 species
UGAAGGGUGGACUGCUUAACAA